rnacentral:lncRNA from 1 species
AGAAACAUUAUAUAUUGGCCAAUGAUGAAUGGAAGGAGGAUAUUCUUCCAGAGAUACUGGAUGGUCACAACGUUGCCGAUUUUCUGGAUCCAGAUAUCCUAGUAAGGUGUGAAGAGUUGGAAAGAGAGGAAGGGCUUCGUCUGGAAGAACAAGCUGCAGAAGAUGCUUUCCAGAUUGAUGGUCAUGAACUAACUCAGGAACAGAAGGAGAUUUUGGCUCAGAUUAGGAAGAAGAAGGCAUUACUCAUCCAAGAACA